GAUGAACGCUGGCGGCGUGCCUAAUACAUGCAAGUCGAGCGAACGGACGAGACGCUUGCUUCUCUGAUGUUAGCGGCGGACGGGUGAGUAACACGUGGAUAACCUACCUAUCAGACUGGGAUAACUUCGGGAAACCGGAUCUAAUACCGGAUAAUAUUUUGAACCGCAUGGUUCAAAAGUGAAAGACGGUCUUGCUGUCACUUAUAGAUGGAUCCGCGCUGCAUUAGCUAGUUGGUAAGGUAACGGCUUACCAAGGCAACGAUGCAUAGCCGACCUGAGAGGGUGAUAGGCCACACUGGAACGGAGGCACGGUCCAGACUCCUAAGGGAGGCAGCAGUAGGGAAUCGUCCGCAAUGGGCGAAAGCCUGACGGAGCAAGGCCGAGUGAGUGAUGAAGGUCUUCGGAUCGUAAAACUCUGUUAUUAGGGAAGAACAUAUGUGUAAGUAACUGUGCACAUCGUGACGGUACCUAAUCAGAAAGCAACGGCUAACUACGUG
rnacentral:rRNA from 1 species